GACGAACGCUGGCGGCGUGCCUAAUACAUGCAAGUCGAGCGGACUUUCAAGAAGCUUGCUUUUUGAAAGUUAGCGGCGGACGGGUGAGUAACACGUGGGCAACCUGCCUGCAAGACGGGGAUAACUCCGGGAAACCGGGGCUAAUACCGGAUAAUAUCUUCCUUCGCAUGAAGGAAGGUUGAAAGGCGGCGCAAGCUGCCGCUUGCAGAUGGGCCCGCGGCGCAUGGGCUAGUUGGUGAGGUAACGGCUCACCAAGGCGACGAUGCGUAGCCGACCGGAGGGGGGGAUCGGCCACACUGGGACGGAGACCCGGCCCAGAGGCCUACGGGAGGCAGCAGUAGGGAAUCUUCCGCAAUGGACGAAAGUCUGACGGAGCAACGCCGAGUGAGCGAAGAAGGUCUUCGGAUCGUAAAGCUCUGUUGUCAGGGAAGAACAAGUACCGUUCGAACAGGGCGGUACCUUGACGGUACCUGACCAGAAAGCCACGGCUAACUACGUG
rnacentral:rRNA from 1 species